GAUGAACGCUGGCGGCGUGCCUAAUACAUGCAAGUCGAGCGAACAGACGAGGAGCUUGCUCCUCUGACGUUAGCGGCGGACGGGUAAGUAACACGUGGAUAACCUACCUAUAAGACUGGGAUAACUUCGGGAAACCGGAGCUAAUACCGGAUAAUAUAUUGAACCGCAUGGUUCAAUAGUGAAAGACGGUUUUGCUGUCACUUAUAGAUGGAUCCGCGCCGCAUUAGCUAGUUGGUAAGGUAACGGCUUACCAAGGCGACGAUGCGUAGCCGACCUGAGAGGGUGAGCGGCCACACUGGAACUGAGACACGGUCCAGACUCCUACGGGAGGCAGCAGUAGGGAAUCUUCCGCAAUGGGCGAAAGCCUGACGGAGCAACGCCGCGUGAGUGAUGAAGGUCUUCGGAUCGUAAAACUCUGUUAUUAGGGAAGAACAAAUGUGUAAGUAACUAUGCACGUCUUGACGGUACCUAAUCAGAAAGCCACGGCUAACUACGUG
rnacentral:rRNA from 1 species